rnacentral:lncRNA from 1 species
GCUUAAACCUUUCCUCUAUGUUGCUCUCUCACACUAUAUUCUUUUUGGUUUAGUAAUUCACCCCUAAAUCCUACAAAGCCCUGCCCUAUUUUAAGUAUUGUAACCCCCGAUCACCGAUACCCUGUCCGACUGACGUAGGGCCCCGUAACGUAUGGCAAGGCUCUGCCUAAAUUCGUUGGGGUUCUGUCUCGUGACGUAGGGAUAACAUGAAAUUGGAUUACCAUACUUAAUGUGAGUGCACUAUAUAUUUUAUUAAAUAACCCAGGAGUGAUACCCGAAAUAUAACAACUCUCCAAAAACACCUCUGAUACCCUACACUUCCUAAAAUACACCCCGUAUGUGAAAACCGAGCCCGGAAUACAAUAUAGCAUUUAAAAUAAAUUAAAAACAAGAAAAUAUAAGUUUACGCGGGCCGCGUAAAGAUCCUCGCUUAGUUAACGCGGGCCGCGAGAGGUUAGAAAGGUGGCGCAGCCCUGGGCCGCCACGUGGCAACACCCGUCAAGCCUAUACCUCAACUCAGCAUAGCUAUACGUUGACUUUGGGUCAACGCGGGCCGCGUAAGACCUGUUCUUAUUUGACGCGGGCCGCGAGAGAGUUCAGUAUCAGCCCUAUAAAUUGGAUCGUCGAGCCUUCAGUCCGAUCGUUCAUUUCUUUCUUUCUCUCUCUUAAUUUCUGAGUAGUAGAAGUAAUACCCGGGUAUAAUGCCCCCCUAAUUAGCGAAGCUCUGCCUCGUUACUAUAACCAGGGAAUCACAAAGGAAAGCCCUAUAAUAGCAAUUAUGACCGUAACUUAGUGUGAAGCCAAUAAAAGCCAGCUGGAGAGCACUGAAGGCUUGGGAAAGUGGCAAUAAAGUUACCUAAAAUAAAAUAGAUGUUUUUAUUAAACAAAAUAGGAUUUAUUCCUAUGAAAAUGUGUGUACUACAAACUUGGGUUUUACCCAUGUGUUUAAUAUUAUGAAAAUAUGGUGGUUUUACUCUGAUAAAAAUAUUUCCUAACUACGGUCCUGAUGAAAAAUUCCGCUGCCAAAUUAGACAAUACACGAUACCACCGAAACUGGCUCACGGCCGCUCGUUCCUGAGG